rnacentral:rRNA from 1 species
GAUGAACGCUAGCGGCAGGCUUAAUACAUGCAAGUCGAGGGGUAGCAAGAUUGUAGCAAUACAAUUGUUGACGACCGGCAAACGGGUGCGGAACACGUACACAACCUUCCUACAAGUGGGGAAUAGCCCAGAGAAAUUUGGAUUAACACCCCGUAACAUAGCGAUGUGGCAUCACAUUGCUGUUAUAGCUUCGGCGCUUGUUGAUGGGUGUGCGGCUGAUUAGAUAGUUGGCGGGGUAACGGCCCACCAAGUCUACGAUCAGUAGCUGAUGUGAGAGCAUGAUCAGCCAAACGGGAACUGAGACACGGGCCCGACUCCUACGGGAGGCAGCAGUAAGGAAUAUUGGACAAUGGACGCAAGUCUGAUCCAGCCAUGCCGCGUGAAGGAUUAAGGUCCUCUGGAUUGUAAACUUCUUUUAUAAGGGACGAAAAAAGGUCUUUCUAGAUCGUCUGACGGUACCUUAUGAAUAAGCACCGGCUAACUCCGUGCCAGCCGCCGCAGUAAAAC